rnacentral:rRNA from 1 species
ACUCCUACGGGAGGCAGCAGUGGGGAAUCUUGGGACAAUGGGGGCAACCCUGAUCCAGCCAUGCCGCGUGAGUGAUGAAGGCCUUAGGGUCGUAAAGCUCUUUCGCCUGUGAAGAUAAUGACGGUAGCAGGUAAAGAAACCCCGCGUACAUCCGUGCCAGCAGCCGCGGUAAUACGGAGGGGGUUAGCGUUGUUCGGAAUUACUGGGCGUAAAGCGCACGUAGGCGGAUCGGAAAGUUGGGG